GGCUUGCUUCGCCUCCUCACUCGGGAUUCGGCUUGCUUCGCCUCCUCACUCUGGAUCCUCCUCGCCUCGCCUCCUCACUCUGGAUCACUCUCACGUCGUCUAGAUCAUUUUUCUCACCAGAUCCCCGAGCACUUGUGGUCCUUCAUCCUGUGCAUCGUCGUCCGAUCCAGUUGCUUGGUACCAUCGUUGACUCAUCUCCGGUGUUACCACCAAUCUCAGCAGCAGCAGAAAGAAGGCACAAAACAAAAACAGAGGGAUUUUGUGCAUUUCAGACAAAGACAAGAAGCUAAGAAGGUAACUACUGG